GCUCCUUACCACUUUGAUUCACCCUUGCCUGCUUCAAACAUUAGGUUUUCCCGGGUAGGAGUUUCUGCAUCCUGUAUACCAAAAAAUGGUUUCUAGUGUUUCUUGUUUUCUGUUGCACCUUUUGUGCUGUGAUAGGGAGAGACCAAAUCUUACUCCUCCCAUCAAAGCUAUGCAGCAUGAGCAAGGGUUCAUCAGUGUUCAUCAAGCAUGGACUGUAGCUCAGCAGCAGCCAAACCAGACAGGAGCCUGGGCUUCGAAGCCUUCGGGGAGAUACGGGGCAGUUUUGAACUAAGAUCUGUUUUUCCUAUUAGCAUGCUAUUCCACCCCCGCCCCGGCAUGCUUUUGUUUUUGAGGAGACUUCUUACAGCCCAAACUGGCCUUGAACUAGCAAUCCUAAAGUAGCUGGGUUCACGAAGUCGUAGGCACACUCUGUAAUAUCCAGGUAGCAUGCUUUCAUUUUUAAACUUUGUUAUAUGGUUGCAGGUUAGAGCCCACUGGGAGGGGGAGAAAACAAGCCCAUGAUGGAAUUCAACGCUGUAAACCUAGAGUUGUACUCUAAAGUGCUUAGUUUUAGUGUUGUUUUAAACAAUUGGGGGCUGGUGUGGUGCCACACACCUUUAAGCUGUAAGUGCAAGGCCAGUCAGGGCUACAGAGAGGAACCGUCUUAAAUCAAAAAAAUGAAUAAAAACAGUUGAGGGUGUAGGGCAAUAGCACGGUGGUAGGCAGAAUGCUUGCCUAGCUGCAGGAAGUCCUCAGCCCAGCCCCCAGCACUGCAUAAGCCACGUGCGGGGUGCCGGUAAUUCCCAGCACUGGAGACAGGAGAGAGAAGCAGAAGUUCAAGGUCAUUCUUGACUGCGUGGGUUACAUGAAACCCUGUCACUUAAGAGUGGGUAAAGGGUCAACUGUAGCUCAGUGGUAGAGCACUUGCCUGACAUGUACAAGGCCCUGGGUUUGACUCCCAACACUGCACAGAAAGGAUUUUUUUUUAAAAGAUUAGUAGAAAUAACUGAAGAUGCUGAGGAGUUGGUGUAUAAAGCUGUGGACAGGAAGGCACAGGCAGGAGAGGUGUCCCGUGAAGGAACUGGGGGGAUAGCUGUUUCCCUUCAGGACGCAGGGUCCCAUGCAGCACUUAAGAUAGGCGAGUGUAACCCCGCCAACCCCCAGGGAGCAGAACUCAGCCGAGGCCUCUGCAGGAUGUGCAGUGUGGACAAGAGAAUCCGGAGCAGAAGUGACCGGGUGUUGGGAUGGGCAGACAGGAUUGCUCUGCCAGCUCCACAAGACUUCAACCCUCCAUUUAGGAUAGCGGGUGUGUGCACCCCUGAAGCAUAGCUUUCCGGUUAGGAAAUAUGCUUAAAAGUUGUUCAGUAAUUAAACGUGAGGGUUGGGGGUUUGUGAAAUGGGGGAGGGAGGCUGGGUGAGUUUUAGGACACCAUCUGGGUCAAACUUACCAAGAAAACGAUGGAUCAGCAUAGGAGUUUCUUUACCUGCAAAGUGUGGACCACAGACCGGAAGGCAUCGAGCAUGAGAUCAGACGGCUUCUUACUGUGAUUAAGCAGCCGAAGGAGGUUUUGAUUGGGUGACUUGGGUGAGGGGCGUGUCCCCUUUGCCCUGUCAGGUGAUGGGCAGGGUUUGGUUGCCUGAAACCUGCAAACUUGAAUGAGUGUGUCUGUGACCUGCAGAACAGACCUGUGUCCCUACAGGAGCCAGCCAGAUGUGUGUUCACGGGCUCCCUGAGCAGUCCUUAUAACCCGGAAGACAUGUGGCCUCACACUCUUCCACCCGACUAGCGAGGCUUGUGCUCUCUCCCUGUAUCCCCCGGGCGUGCGUUCACUCUGGUGAGACAUCAGAGGGAAUCUGUUGCGUUGGGUGAAUCUCCUCUACAUGUACUUUCCUUGGGAAACUAUUAGUGCAUUUGUAUCCAGAUCUCUCCAUGGCAACCUGGACCCGAUGGCUUCAACCCCCAGCAAAGGUUCCCUGGUUUUCUAGCCACAGUUGACAGAUUGUAACUAGGAAGCCCUCUUUGGCUUCCUGCAGUUGCCUGAGUGUCAUGAGGUUUUCUGGCUUCUCCUUAAGCUUUGACACUACGUCUUUUGAGAUCUAGUCUGGUUAGCAAAAUCUGCAUGCGAGUGGCCCACCCAGCCAUGCCCAGAUGCUUUGAGAGUUGGGAAAACUGAGAACUGAUAAGCUGCACUCAGGAAUCCCAAGGUCAGUCGCUGUGUGUGCUAACUGGUUAGGACUGUCUGCAGCUGAACGCACUAGAUGCCUUUGAGUUUGAUUUUUUUGUUUUUUGUUUUUUUGUUUUUGUUUUUUUUUUUUGUCAUAUUUUGAAAUGUAAGUCAGCCCUGAAUAAUCCAAACACUUUAUUUUAUUUUUCUUCUUUAAUAGGAACUUUCUGAAGAAAACGUGAUGUGUAAAACCUUUGAUAUUUAAGACAAUAAAGUUUUUAUCAUAAGACUUUC
rnacentral:lncRNA from 1 species